UUCAACUGUCAAAUCCUAAUAGGCGAUCAACUAUGUGUUUACGUCAAAUAUAAUCGACCACUGAAUGACCUAAGAAACUCAUUUCUUCUUUCAUUCAAUUGCCAUUGCCCUGGCCAAGGUCUUAGUUUGGUCGUUUAUAAUUCAUGACAACAUGGAGCUUAAACUCAUUACCAGGAGUUGACAGAUUCCGUCUUGAUCAAUCACUAAUUCUACAAGUAUUUAAUCGUACCCAAUAUCCUUUCAACUAUCGCCCUAGGGCCAUA
rnacentral:lncRNA from 1 species